rnacentral:rRNA from 1 species
AAAUUGAAGAGUUUGAUCAUGGCUCAGAUUGAACGCUGGCGGCAGGCCUAACACAUGCAAGUCGAACGGUAACAGGAAGCAGCUUGCUGCUUCGCUGACGAGUGGCGGACGGGUGAGUAAUGUCUGGGAAACUGCCUGAUGGAGGGGGAUAACUACUGGAAACGGUGGCUAAUACUGCAUAACGUCGCAAGACCAAAGAGGGGGACCUUCGGGCCUCUUGCCAUCAGAUGUGCCCAGAUGGGAUUAGCU